UACGUAGGGUGCAAGCGUUGUCCGGAAUUAUUGGGCGUAAAGAGCUCGUAGGCGGUCUGUCGCGUCGGCUGUGAAAACCCGAGGCUCAACUUCGGGCCUGCAGUCGAUACGGGCAAACUGGAGUGUUGCAGGGGAGACUGGAAUUCCUGGUGUAGCGGUGAAAUGCGCAGAUAUCAGGAGGAACACCGGUGGCGAAGGCGGGUCUCUGGGCAGCAACUGACGCUGAGGAGCGAAAGCGUGGGGAGCGAACAGG
rnacentral:rRNA from 1 species